rnacentral:rRNA from 1 species
CACGUAGUUAGCCGGGGCUUCUUAGUCAGGUACUGUCAUUUUCUUCCCUGCUGAUAGAGCUUUACAUACCGAAAUACUUCUUCACUCACGCGGCGUUGCUGCAUCAGGGUUUCCCCCAUUGUGCAAUAUUCCCCACUGCUGCCUCCCGUAGGAGUUUGGGCCGUGUCUCAGUCCCAAUGUGGCCGGUCACCCUCCCAGGCCGGCUACUGAUCGUCGCCUUGGUGAGCCGUUACCUCACCAACCAGCUAAUCAGACGCGGGUCCAUCUUACACCGAUAACUCUUUUCCGUCAGGGUCAUGCGACCCCAGCGGGUUAUGCGGUAUUAGCAGUCAUUUCUAACUGUUAUCCCCCUGUGUAAGGCAGGUUACCCACGCGUUACUCACCCGUCCGCCGCUCAGUCAAACCAUCUCAUUCCGAAAAACUCCGAUGGAGUGCUUCGCUCGACUUGCAUGUGUUAAGCACGCCGCCAGCGUUCAUCCUGACGCCAGGAUCGAAACUCU